AUACGAGGGGUGCAAGCGUUAAUCGGAAUUACUGGGCGUAAAGCGUUCGUAGGCGGUUAUUUAAGCAAGGUGUGAAAGCCCAGGGCUCAACCUUGGAACUGCAUUUUGAACUGGGUAACUAGAGUAUUGUAGAGGGUGGUGGAAUUUCCAGUGUAGCGGUGAAAUGCGUAGAGAUUGGAAGGAACAUCAGUGGCGAAGGCGGCCACCUGGACAAAUACUGACGCUGAGGAACGAAAGCGUGGGGAGCAAACAGGAUUAGAAACCCCGGUAGUCC
rnacentral:rRNA from 1 species